rnacentral:ribozyme from 14 species
CAACAACAGAAAGAAAAAAGAAAAAAGAAGAAAGAAGAAAAAAAAAAGCUGCUGCAUGUUGUUG